AGAUAGGUAGUUAAAUAAUAACAUUUCACAGCUAGAGUAGCACACUGAUGCUGCUUGGCAAGCUGAAGCCUCAUGGGAGGCCUGGGUUCGAUUCCCAGCCUACCUU
rnacentral:tRNA from 1 species